rnacentral:rRNA from 1 species
CAGCCGCCGCGGUAAUACGUAGGUGGCAAGCGUUGUCCGGAAUUAUUGGGCGUAAAGGGCUCGCAGGCGGUCUCUUAAGUCUGAUGUGAAAGCCCCCGGCUCAACCGGGGAGGGUCAUUGGAAACUGGGAAACUUGAGUGCAGAAGAGGAGAGUGGAAUUCCACGUGUAGCGGUGAAAUGCGUAGAGACGUGGAGGAACACCAGUGGCGAAGGCGACUCUCUGGUCUGUAACUGACGCUGAGGAGCGAAAGCGUGGGGAGCGAACAGGAUUAGAUACCCAGUAGUCCCUGUCUCUUAUACA